rnacentral:rRNA from 1 species
UACGUAGGUGGCAAGCGUUGUCCGGAUUUACUGGGCGUAAAGGGUGGGCAGGCGGACGUUUAAGUAAGAAGUGAAAGGUUGGAGCUUAACUCUAACACUGCUUCUUAUACUGGGCGUCUUGAGUUCUGGAGAGGAAGAUGGAACAACACGUGUAGCGGUGAAAUGCGUUGAGAUGUGUUGGAACACCAAUGGCGAAAGCAGUCUUCUGGACAGAUACUGACGCUCAUCCACGAAAGCCAAGGUAGCGAACAGG